rnacentral:lncRNA from 1 species
AACAUAUAUAAUAUAUGACACGUCUUGUAAUAUUCUCUUUGAGUUUUCAAUACAAACUCACCCCAAGUAUACAACAAAAAGUAAAAUACUGAAGCAGUUAAUUACUACAAAAAAACGACUUUUGUCCAACAGGUAAUAAAAAUGUCUAUUCAUUGCGCCGUAACAAGUCAUGACGCAUGAAAAUAAAACGUUAUUGAAUAUCGUGCUUCAUUUUACAAAAUAAAAAGAAAAAAAUAGAAACAAUAGGUGACGAUGAAUAGAAGCAGGUGAAUAUGUAUGAAAAAGCCAACAAGAAACGCAAUAUCAUGACUUUGAGUAUCCAAAACACUCCCAUCUUCGAACAAGCAUCCAUCCCUACACUAAAAAAUCAUAUAACAACACAACACUCUUUUUAGGUGUAUCAUUAUUAUUACAUAAAGAAUCAAACAACUGUGUAAACUAAGGAAUAUGUAUGUGAGAAAUGCGUACCUUUCAGAAAGGUGAGUAGAUUUGAGUCCUGAUGGAGUUUCGGGAUGUCCCACGCAAAAUGAUCUAAAACCCAAUAGCUUUGGCCAACCCGGCCCUGAAGGAAGAGCCCGGUGACUCAGGGACAGGGCGGCCCGACUGGUCUUUUGCCACCGUGCACGAACCAUUUGUGGCACCAUCCCAUAUACUGAAGAUCUGUUAUAUAGUUCUGGAACAUAGAAACAGUUCAGAGAAACAAACACUAAACAGAUAACGAGACAUUAGUAAACAACACACACAUAGUGGAACCCACAUGUUA